rnacentral:tRNA from 1 species
AGACGAUUGAUCGAGUGGCUUAAGGCAGCGGUCUUGAAAACCGCCGAGGGUGCAAGCCCUCCGUGAGUUCGAAUCUCAUUCCGUCAGCCG